AUACUUACCUGGCAGGGAAGCACCAUGAUUACAAAGAUGGUUUUCCUAGGGUGAGGCUUAUCCAUUGCACUCCAGGUAUGCUGACCCCUGCAAUUUCCCCAAAUGGGGGAAAAUCGACUAUCUAAUUUGUCAUCGUGGGGUGUUGCAUUCAUGCUCUUCCCUG
ensembl:snRNA U1 U1 spliceosomal RNA